UCGUCGCAGAGAGAAGGCGAGCAGUUAUCUGUCAGUAAAACACUACACAGGGUACUUGUGACCGCGACAGAAUUCAGACAACACUAACGUGCACCAGUAAUACAUCACUGUGACCUUCUGUCGCAUAAACUAUCCGGAAAAUCAGCAGAAAAAGCUUCAAGACUCUUUUACCACUUUGGAAUGGGGCUGUUUGCUUCCAAAGCCUUAUCUAGACACUGUGGAAAGGUGCUAGCAAGUAGCACAUUUUUGGAGUCUUCUUAAGUGCUCUGGUUUGUAAGCACAUCUGCAUUCUGCUCCCACUGACAACUGGAUUGACAUUCUACAACUACAAGGAAACCAGUAGUUCUAAUGACAUUCGAUGACUGCAGUUAGAAACUCCCAUAUCUAGAUGUUGAUUAUAAAGGUCAUAUUUCAGAUGAUGGAGUGUUUGCUGGAAGUUCCCAGCGAGCUGCUCUUUAGAAUACAACAUUCACUGCUCCUGAGCCUGCACCACUUCCUGCUUCUGAAUGCCAACUUUAAAUGGUGUACCAUCUCUUCACUUAAGUUACUUUUAAUUAAAUUAAUACAACAUAAAUAAUGUUUGAAGGAACUGGAAGUGGUUAUGACCACACUGUUUAAAAUUGAUUUGCUCUUAGCUCUGGAUUUUUACCCUAGUCAAAGUGGAAGUAAGGUCCUUGUUUCUCUGAACUGGAUGGAACCUGCAUGCAACUUUGGUGGAAUCAAUAUCCCACAUGCAGGGUGCAUUUCUGGAUGCUAUAUUUUAGCACGUUUCUUAGUUUUUCCUGUGGCAUGUAGUUAGUGUAUCUGUAGCUAGCAUGCCAUUGUUUUGCUAUCGGAAUAUCCAUGAUGUCCUUGGAUUACAAAACACCACUUUCAUAUUAAUAAUUCAAAUUAGGAGAUUUC